rnacentral:siRNA from 1 species
UGGGUUGUCCAAUGGGCAUAACAG